rnacentral:misc_RNA from 1 species
GAUGAAGAACGUAGCGAAAUGCGAUAAGUAAUGUGAAUUGCAGAAUUCAGUGAAUCAUCGAAUCUUUGAACGCACAUUGCGCCCCUUGGUAUUCCGAGGGGCAUGCCUAUUCGAGCGUCAUUAUCACCCCUCAAGCUCCGGCUUGGUGUUGAGGCCUGCUGUAAAGGCACCCUCUAAAAUCAGUGGCAGUGCUGUCAGGCUCUAAGCGUAGUAAUUCUCUCGCUACAGGGUCCCGGUGGACACUCGCCAGAACCCCCCCAUUUUUUAAUGAUUGACCUCGGAUUAGGUAGGGAUACCCGCUGAACUUAAGCAUAUCAAUAGCGGAGGA